CUUUUUCUUCUUCUUUU
rnacentral:sRNA from 1 species